rnacentral:rRNA from 1 species
GACGAACGCUGGCGGCGUGCCUAAUACAUGCAAGUCGAACGCACUCUCGUUUAGAUUGAAGGAGCUUGCUCCUGAUUGAUAAACAUUUGAGUGAGUGGCGGACGGGUGAGUAACACGUGGGUAACCUGCCCUAAAGUGGGGGAUAACAUUUGGAAACAGAUGCUAAUACCGCAUAAAACCUAACACCGCAUGGUGUAGGGUUGAAAGAUGGUUUCGGCUAUCACUUUAGGAUGGACCCGCGGUGCAUUAGUUAGUUGGUGAGGUAAAGGCUCACCAAGACCGUGAUGCAUAGCCGACCUGAGAGGGUAAUCGGCCACACUGGGACUGAGACACGGCCCAGACUCCUACGGAGGCAGCAGUAGGGAAUCUUCCACAAUGGACGAAAGUCUGAUGGAGCAACGCCGCGUGAGUGAAGAAGGUUUCGGAUCGUAAACUCUGUUGUUGGAGAAGAAUGUAUCUGAUAGUAACUGAUCAGGUAGUGACGGUAUCCAACCAGAAAGCCACGG